CAUUUUUCCACAAGGACAAUAGCUAUAUACUGUAGAAGUCAGCUUUUAUCCAAGUAACAACAUAUCUUAAUGAAAAUCAGUCACACUGGUUGUUUAAUUUUUUAUUUUUUAAAAAAUACUUUAUGCAAUGAAACACCACCACAAUCCUGGCAUUUUGAUCCUAUACUGUACACAUUUACUCAGAAUUAAACCCCUCUCUGUUCAACGGGCUUGCUUCAAGGUAAGAUUGCAGAGGAUUGCAUAGAACUGUAGAGUUGCAUGGGACCACACAAGUCACCUAGUCCAACCCCCUGCAAUGCAGGAAUCUUUUGCCCAAUGAGGGUCUUGAACCCAGAACCCUGAGAUUAAGAAUCUUGUGCACUACUGACUGAGCUACCAAGUGUACCUUGCAGUCCAGUCCUACGCAUGUUAAUAAGGAGUAAGUCACAUCCAGUUUACUCACAAAUAAAUGGGCAUCAGAUUACAUUCUAUUCUCCAGGCACAUUAACCCAAAGAUACUGAAUUUAUGGGGAUGUUACACUUGCCUCUCUAAGCAAAUGUGCACCAUCUGUUCUUGUCCCAAGCAAUGAUCCCAACUUGUCCGAGGAGGGGCGUAUGCUAGGGGCCAAGUCAAUGGACACCAGCACUAAUCCUGUUCCCAAAUGUAGGAGCAAAGUCAGUGCCUAAUUCAGCAGCAUCAGGCAAAACAGAGAUCGACCUUCCAGAGAGAAAGAAGCUAAGCUUAGACUUGAAUAUUACUUUGACAACUAACAAAUCCAGAAUGAGCCUUAAACAGGACUGCAGCUUCCUUUGAGCAGCGGGUCCCACUCUUGAUGGGUAAGUGGCUGGUGGGGGUGGGGCACUGAGGUUGUGUUAUGGCAGGAGUAGGGAACCUUUGGCCUUCCCGUUCAUAGAACCAUAGAGUUGGAAGGGACCUAGAGGAACAUCUAGUCCAACUCUCCCUGCAAUGCUGAACUUAAACUCCCUUCAUCCUUUGACACUGGCCAUUCUUGCCAGGUCGAUAGGAGUUGUAAUUCAGCAAGUUCUGGAAGGCCAAAAUGUUCCACACUCCCGUAUUAUGGCCUCCAAGUGGGAUUCUCAAGGAAUUGUGACCUCUUGGGUUCCAGCGGUGCUGGAACGCUCAAGGAAGCAGGGAUAGCAAAGCGUGAUUCAGAGGGGUACAUCUCCCCCUAGUCCAUGCCCUCUAUCCCUUGAUGAUGGGGUCAGAGUCAUUGCUUUCUUGAAUACCUCUUCCUCCCCAGAAAAUAGACAACAAUUUUAUUUUGCCAUUUAAUCAAGACAUAUAUUUCACUGUUGUGAUGCUCUGCAUGUUAGUGGGAGAUAUGGGUGGUACUGUACUGCUUCUCAAUCUUUUAUUUAUUGCACCUCCACAGUUGCAUUCAAUGGGCUGCUGCUGAUGCUCCCUCCUUGCCUGCGUUGUUUGCGUGCACGCAGAGCCAAUAGGGUUAUCAUCUGCUCUUGCAACCUUCCUCCAUCCACCUUGCUUAUGGGUUCUCUUGCCCCCUUCCUUCCUUCCUUCCUUCCUUCCUUCCUUCCUUCCUUCCUGUCUUCACUCAUUUUCACAAACCUAUUCUCAUUUCUAGAGUUCGUGUGAGGUUUCUGCCCCAGCCAAACUGACAACUCUCCAUUCACAGUGAACUUUCUGACAGUAUAGUCCCUGUGUAGUUGAAAUGUUGAUGAACGUUCCAUUCCAUCACAUUAGCUCAAUCACUUGGCAUGAUAGACUGAAGCGGCAGUACUAAAAACCACUAAUCCAUUCUGCAGGUGGAAGCGUUAUUCCACUGGUGUAGCUUCAUCUCUGCCAGCAAAGCUGCACUUCUGCUGCUUCCUAAGGUCGCUCAGUGAAUCUCCACUACAGAAUUGCAUCCUUAAUCCCAGAUAAGUGUGCAUAGGACCGCUGCCUUAAAUUUACCAGAGCGCACCAUUCUCCUUUGACACAGAAGUAACAUUUUACAAAUGAGGUGUGAAACCACUGCUAAUUCACUUGCGGUUACAUAAAGCCUGUCAUGAACUGCCUGCUCAAUUGUAUUUACUGGUGAUGUAAGAGGCUUGUGCUGUGACACAUACGAGGAUAGAAGUGUAAUUUUAUUCACCCAUCAGUAAACCUCUUGUUGUGUUUCUCUGUCGUGCAUUGUGACUAAUCAUCCUAAUGUCUAUUAUUAAUGGAGAAUUGCUGGAGUGAAAGCAAAGCCCACAUCUGCUUUGAAAAGAAUGCAGCUAUUUAGGAUUUGCAUCAGAGUCACUUUGAAAGCAUGGAUGACAGAUGCCCAACAGUGUCGCCCAGUGAAUUCAAAUAAAGGCAAAUCAGAGACUAACAUAGAACCACGGAAGCCACUUAAUAGUGGAGUAUUAGGGUUUUACUAGUUUGUUUCAUUGUAUUUAUUCUAAAAAUAUAUAUUCUGCGUUUCAGGACAAGUAUCCCCAACAAACUGGCAUACAAAGCCAGUCAUAAAGACUUUAAAAGCAACAAUUUUAAAUCAAUAGUAAGAUCAUGCCCCUUUAUAAGAAGCAGUAAAAACAUCAGUAAGAUGCAGCUAAGGGAUCCCCGUGUUUUUUUAGUGUACAGUUACACUGUACACUGUUUUUUAGUGUACACAGUGAGAAGAUACCAGUUGAUGAUGUGUGCCUUGCAACCUUUUUUUGGUAAAACCUGGGCUGGAACUGCUCCAGACUUUGGUGAAACGGAACACUGGUUGAAUUCUCUUAACAUUACAGUGAUGAUUAUAGAAUCAUCAAGUCGGAUGGGACCCCCAAAGGUCAUUGGUCCAACCCUCCACAGUGUAAGAAUCUAAAUUUGCUAUCUGUUGGUGCUAGAGCCACUUGUUUCUGGAUUUUUCCCCUUGGCGUUUUGGUAAAAGAAUUAGCAGUGAUUUUGUGUAUUAUGUGGCUGACCAGCGAUGACUAGAAGUCCUACUCGGAGCAACCCCCAUGGAAAUGGUUGACCUAAGUUUGUCAUGUUCAUUAAUUUCAACGGAGCUACUCUGAGUAGGAUUAGCAUUGGCAACAAACCAAUAAGUUUAUAUUUCAGACUGAAGUUACUGCCACAGAAUCAUUUUAUUAAAUAAGAACAGAGCAUACUCGUUGGGAGGCAGAAAUACUCAUUGCAUGGUCAUAACAUUUAUUUCUAUGGCUCAUAAUUUUGAAUCCCAUCACCCCCUGCUCGAUUUAAACCCCUUAGGCUGUUAUCAUGCUUUGAUUGGAUAGAAUAUUACCUGACAUUUUAUUUCUAAGUCAAUUGGCAAGAGUCUUGUAUUGUGUUUUUUAAACUAUUGAAACAAAACAGCCCACCAGAAGAUCUGUAGACCUAAUUUAAAACUCCUACUCUCUUCCACAGGCUCAUUGCGUGGUAUUACCCGAAAGUAUAAUAUGAAACACAAUUAUACAUCUGGAAGUGAAAAGCAGAAAAAGAAUAGAGAAAGAUAAGAGCAUGAAGAAGAACAGGUACGUUCAUUGCCUUUUUGAAAACUUGCUCUUCAGGGUCAUGAUGCAUCAGAGACAAUGGAAGAAUCAAGCUGUAGCAGCAGCAGGUAUUGAAGAUGUAAAAACAAGUGAAACACUGGACCUCAACUUCCCACAAAAGAUGUGACAGAUUCAGUCACUUUUGAAGGUAAAGAUGGUGUGGAAUAUGCAACUAAGUGAUAAAAAAUGUACUCCAGUCAAAACAGAAGACAGCAUAUAUUUUAGAGAAGUUCCUUACAUUAGCGACAUCGCUUUGUAGCCUAAUUCUCUUUCAUCAGAUAUGAAUGCAACUGAUAAAAGAUCAUUCAACACCCUUAAAAGAGUCAAAAAUUACUUACAUUCUGCUAUAUCUCAAGAGCAUUUAAUGAGUUUAGCAAUUUUAGCAAUUGAAAGUUCUGCAUAGCAAGAUGUAAAAUAUGACAAGUUAAUUGACAAUUUUGUGCAAAGGAAGUGUA